GUGACUAGUGACAGAGUGAGAGAGGGUGUGACUAGUGACAGAGUGAGAGAGGGGGUGACUAGUGACAGAGUGAGAGAGGGGGUGACUGUCACUAGUCACCCCAUCCCUCUCUCUGUCACUAGUCACUCCCUCCCUAACUCUGUCACUGUGUCACCCCGUCCCUCACUCUGUCACUAGUUACCCCCUCUCUCACUAUGUCACUAGUCACCCCCUCUCUCACUAUGUCACUAGUCACCCCCUCCCUCACUA